ACCUGUGCUUUUGUUCCUGGAAACUUAGGUUGAGCCUUUCCCCUGCUCUCUGCCUGAAAACAUCCUCCUUGUCACAGUCUGGAGGCCCUGGCAAUGCAGUUUCAGAAGGCUGAAUUCUCAGAGUUGAACCUAGCUGCCUAUGUGACCGGGGGCUGCAUGGUAGACAUGCAGGUCGUGAGAAAUGGGACCAAAGUGGUGAGGUGAGUAGGACUAAAAUAUGCAGAACCUUCUGAGAAUUGCAUACGUGGAACCUCAGGUAGCCCACCCCUCCGUCCACUGCCUGCAACCUAACUCCUUUGCCACAUGUACUUUCCUGUACAGAAUGUCUGCUUCCCAGGUGUGGCUGCAGUAGUAAUGACCAGCGGCACAUAUCGUACGGGCAGCACCUGUGGUGUCCCCAAGUGAGCCAUGGGCUUGGAGAGAAAAGACUUGGGUUCCAUUUCUGGCUUUGAGGCUCUGCUCUGGCAUAUUAUUUAGUCUCUUGUGUCCUCUACUUCUCAUCUGCAGCAUGAUGAUAUGCACUGAAGUUAGAGGCUGCUAAAGUUUACAGAAACUCACAUGUAUGACAGCACCCUGUUAACUCUGAAGUGCGGUA
rnacentral:sRNA from 1 species